rnacentral:rRNA from 1 species
UGGGGAAUAUUGGACAAUGGGCGAAAGCCUGAUCCAGCCAUGCCGCGUGUGUGAAGAAGGUCUUCGGAUUGUAAAGCACUUUAAGUUGGGAGGAAGGGCAUUAACCUAAUACGUUAGUGUUUUGACGUUACCGACAGAAUAAGCACCGGCUAACUCUGUGCCAGCAGCCGCGGUAAUACAGAGGGUGCAAGCGUUAAUCGGAAUUACUGGGCGUAAAGCGCGCGUAGGUGGUUUGUUAAGUUGGAUGUGAAAUCCCCGGGCUCAACCUGGGAACUGCAUUCAAAACUGACUGACUAGAGUAUAGUAGAGGGUGGUGGAAUUUCCUGUGUAGCGGUGAAAUGCGUAGAUAUAGGAAGGAACACCAGUGGCGAAGGCGACCACCUGGACUAAUACUGACACUGAGGUGCGAAAGCGUGGGGAGCAAACA